rnacentral:rRNA from 1 species
AACGCGAAGAACCUUACCUGGGCUCGAAAUGUAGUGGAAUAGGGUGGAAACAUCCUAGUCUCGCAAGAGACUGCUAUAUAGGUGCUGCAUGGCUGUCGUCAGCUCGUGUCGUGAGAUGUUGGGUUAAGUCCCGCAACGAGCGCAACCCUUAUUGCCAGUUGCCACCGGGUUAUGCCGAGCACUCUGGCGAAACCGCACAGGAUAACUGUGAGGAAGGUGGGGAUGACGUCAAGUCCUCAUGGCCUUUAUGUCCAGGGCUACACACGUGCUACAAUGGUCGGUACAAACCGUCGCAAACCCGCGAGGGGGAGCUAAUCGGAAAAAGCCGGCCUCAGUUCGGAUUGGAGUCUGCAACCCGACUCCAUGAAGCUGGAAUCGCUAGUAAUCGCGGAUCAGAACGCCGCGGUGAAUACGUUCCCGGGCCUUGUA